rnacentral:rRNA from 1 species
UACGUAGGGACCAAGCGUUGUCCGGAAUCAUUGGGCGUAAAGAGCGUGUAGGCGGCUUGUUAAGUCUUGCGUGAAAUCUCGGGGCUCAACCCCGAGCGGUCGUGAGAAACUGGCAGGCUAGAGUGCGGGAGAGGAGAGUGGAAUUCCUGGUGUAGCGGUGAAAUGCGCAGAUAUCAGGAAGAACACCCGUGGCGAAGGCGGCUCUCUGGAACGUAACUGACGCUGAGACGCGAAAGCGUGGGGAGCAAACAGG